rnacentral:RNase_P_RNA from 1 species
AAGGUCUGCCGGAUGGUCGCGCUUUCUUUUCUGUCCGGUUGGAUUCUCCACCGCUCGGGAAGAAUGUGAGGAAAGUCCGGACACCAUGGAAUCACGGGACCGGGUAAUUCCCGGAGUCCGGAAUCGAAAGAGACCGGAUAUGGAAAGUGCAGCAGAAAGGAUACCGCCUCUUUUGAGGUAAGGGUGAAAUGGUGGGGUAAGAGCCCACCGCCGUUUUUGCAAGAAAGCGGGCAAGGUAAACCCUCCCGGGUGCAAUCUCGAAUAGGCGACCGUUUUAGUCGAUUCCCCUAGGUCGCGGGUAGAGAGCAAGGAGUCCGCUCGGCAACAUGCGGGCCAAGAUAAAUGAUCAUCACUCGCAAGAGUACAAAAUCCGGCUUACAGGCGGCCCUUCCAC